rnacentral:lncRNA from 1 species
CAACAUUUUUUUGUAGCCAAGCGUACUAAGGACGUAUGAUAACCAAAGUUGUUGUCACUGACAUUUACGUGGCAUGCAACAGUACGUCUGACAUAAAAAGUUAAUAUAUAACGAAGUUUGACCAAAUGUUUUCAUAAGACAUAGAGUUAGAGAAAACAACAAAUUGAUGUCUCACUGCAAUAUCAUCGGGGUUGUGCUCUCCUGUACUCCUUCCAUUUCCACUCGACCAACACAAAUUUCUCAUUCGCAUUGUCCUGCAUGUCCAAUAUCUCCCUAUUGCGCCUUUGGGACAGGUAAGUGCACGUCCAGAAGUAUAGAUCUGUUCUCUUUUCUAGUCGACUCUUCGACAACAACUCCUUCUUGCAGGUAUUCGGGUUGGUCACAGCAAGGCCAAUAAAAGCUGUCAAUUUUGACAGCAACAUUUUCACUGGCCGUCGUCGCCCAAUCGACGUAGUACAAAAGUUCGUAUGCGAAAAUUUUCUUCUUCUUCCCUUUUUUCUUCCCAGUGUCAAAAUUCCACUUGUCCUUGCUAUGCAAGCAGGACACAUCUAUGCUUGCUGCAGCCCCGUCUAGUGUGUCAGGCUCGUCACUUGAUCACUGCUCUCGAUAUCAAUUGGAACCUCAUCACGGUGUUCUUCGUAUCAAUUGUCUUUGAACAUCGUGAACCCAGUUCGACAGAGCUUUAUCGGCGUGACUGCAUACCUAUCACUAUUGAACGCAUCCUCGAACAGAGCCUUAUAGCUGUACACCUCGCGACAAUCGUUGUCCUUAAACUCUUUGUAAUCUUUGUUCUCCUGUGCCAGUACAAACGGACAGUGUCAUCAUAUAUGUUAUACAAACACAUAUGAAUGAAAUGCAUGGAUGGAAGCAUAAAGGAAUUGAAUCGUAAUUUCCCAAGAAAAAAUUGCAUUAACGGAAUGCUUUUAGGUUUAGCCCGAUGUAAUUCCUACUCGGUUGGACCAAUGGAAAAAUGAAAUCUCAGCAAACAGGCGAAUACAUGAACACAAGAACGGUGAUAUGGAAAUGGCUUUCGUUCAAAUCAUCCUCAUUACAUCGUAGACACAUCUAACUCCAGUCACUCACAAAGCAAACGCAUUCAUCGAAAAUCAAAAUGACCAGCAUUUAUGACAUUUAACAGAAAAUCAUGCGUAAUGAAUUUAAUGAAACAACCACAGGACAUUCAAAUCUCAUACAAAAGCCUGGAAAUGGUCGAUGAGUCACAGAACGAUGGUACCUUGAUCUUUCAAGCCCACCACUCCUCCGUCUAUCAAAUUUGUCGGUCGAUGGGUCAUACACAAUGCCGCUGGAGUUCAGCAACUCCUCAAAUCUCUUGUGUUUCAGGCGAAGAGCAUCCCAUCGAUUUUUUAAUUGCUGCUUGGUCCAAUUAUGCAUAGAGUUGGAAUUGAACAAGUAAACCAGUGUCUCCCAGCCGUGUUUCGUGAAACGCUUCCUAUUUCGGUGUCCUUCGACAAUGAGCCAUCUCAAG